UACGUAGGGGGCAAGCGGUGUCCGGAAUCAUUGGGCGUAAAGAGCGUGUAGGCGGCUCGGUAAGUCCGCUGGGAAAGUCCAGGGCUCAACCCUGGAAUGCCGGUGGAAACUGUCGAGCUAGAGUCCGGAAGAGGCGAGUGGAAUUCCUGGUGUAGCGGUGAAAUGCGCAGAUAUCAGGAGGAACACCAAUGGCGAAGGCAGCUCGCUGGGACGUGACUGACGCUGAGACGCGAAAGCGUGGGGAGCAAACAGG
rnacentral:rRNA from 1 species